CCUACGGGUGGCAGCAGUGAGGAAUAUUGGUCAAUGGGCUUACGCCUGAACCAGCCAAGUCGCGUGAGGGAAGACUGCCCUAUGGGUUGUAAACCUCUUUUGUCAGGGAGCAAUUGGCGCUACGUGUAGCGUUAUCGAGAGUACCUGAAGAAAAAGAAUCGGCUAACUCCGUGCCAGCAGCCGCGGUAAUACGGAGGAUGCGAGCGUUAUCCGGUUUUAUUGGGUUUAAGGGGUUCGUAGGCGGGCUGUGAGGUCCGCGGUAAAAGCCCGGGGCUAAACCUCGGCGAGCCGUUGAUACUGGCUGUCUUGAGAUGUCGAGAGGUAUGCGGAAUGCGCAGUGUAGCGGUGAAAUGCUUAGAUAUUGCGCAGAACUCCGAUUGCGAAGGCAGCAUACCGGCGGCGAUCUGACGCUGAGGCACGAAAGCGUGGGUAUCGAACAGGAUUAGAUACCCUUGUAGUC
rnacentral:rRNA from 1 species